rnacentral:rRNA from 1 species
CCUACGGGUGGCUGCAGUGGGGAAUAUUGCACAAUGGGCGCAAGCCUGAUGCAGCCAUGCCGCGUGUGUGAAGAAGGCCUUCGGGUUGUAAAGCACUUUCAGCGGGGAGGAAGGCGUUAAGGUUAAUAACCUUGUCGAUUGACGUUACCCGCAGAAGAAGCACCGGCUAACUCCGUGCCAGCAGCCGCGGUAAUACGGAGGGUGCAAGCGUUAAUCGGAAUUACUGGGCGUAAAGCGCACGCAGGCGGUCUGUCAAGUCGGAUGUGAAAUCCCCGGGCUCAACCUGGGAACUGCGUUCGAAACUGGCAGGCUAGAGUCUUGUAGAGGGGGGUAGAAUUCCAGGUGUAGCGGUGAAAUGCGUAGAGAUCCGGAGGAAUACCGGUGGCGAAGGCGGCCCCCUGGACAAAGACUGACGCUCAGGUGCGAAAGCGUGGGGAGCAAACAGGAUUAGAUACCCCAGUAGUC